UUUCUACCUAUUUGCAGGAAACAGGACUCUUAAUCCGUAGGUCGAGUGUUCGAGUCACUCACGCCCCACCA
rnacentral:tRNA from 1 species